GCUGCGUUUGAGCUCUUGGCGUCGUGUUUUUCCUGCUAAGUCAACUGAGGUCGAUUCUGAAAUAAUGUUUAAUUGUUCAUCCCCGAAGGAUGUUAAUUAAGGAAUUUAAUUUGAUAUGAUAUCCGCAACCCUGAAAGCAGGCCAAAAGUCGUGUUUUUUCCUGCGAGAGAAGCCGGAUUCGGCGUAUCGCCGUCAGAUCGAACUGCAUUCUAAUGAAGUCUGAAAACACAGAUGGUGACAAUUAAAAGACAGCGCUAGCUUUUGUCCUCGCAUCAUCCACCUGACAAGACCGUGAGUGAUGUUAGAUCAGGAUUUCAAGAGUAAUGUGAUCGUCUUUGAAGGUUUACACAGAGUACUGUAGAUUGUAGUGUUGAGGAGGAUGGUGUGCUCUAGGUUAAGAUGGUUUGUUCGGUGGACCGAGAGCAUGAUGCCAUCUGGAGAUGCGAGGACUAAUCAUUCGGGAGGCCAAAGUGAAAUCAGGAGGAUGAUAAUAAUACUUCAGUACAGCAGGUCACACACAGUCUGACACCAUGUCUACAAUGCAAAGGAUCAACACAAGAUCACUCCCGUUCUACUGAAUGAAGCUGUCUGCGCUGCAAGCAACAUGGCAUCUUUAGAGAACUGCUGGAUUCGAAAGCAGGGUUUUAUUUAGCACAAGAUCAGUGACGGACGGACAGACUCCAGCGAGACAGAUGGGCAGAUGUGGCUUCACAGCAGAUGAAUUCAUCUGAUGAAGGCAUGUUACAACCUGUCCAAGCCGGUGUCCGGCUUCAUUGAAUAGCCCUGCCUUGGAACAGAAUUUGCACUAGAAAUGCAGCCUUUGACUUCAACAGAAAAAGAAAAGAGAAUGGAGAGCCUCCUCCAUUGUAAAAGCUAGUUGAAGCAGACAAAUGAGGAGAUUCGCAGCCCACCUGAAGCCCAGGAGAACGCCGCCCGAGCAGGCAUGCCAGCGGAGGCCCCUGCUAAUUAUCAGGCCCCUCUUCAUGACUGACAUCUGCCUCCUACCCCUCUAUUAGGACAUCAGCAGCAGCUUGAAGAAAAAAAAAACAAGGAGAAACCACACAACAAGGAGGGCUUCCACUAUGCUCUAUUGUAGGCAUGGUGAUGGUUCGUCUGUCGAGCGGCUGCCCUUUGAUGACCCUGUCCGUCUGAGGCAUCUGCGGCUCACUGGAGCGUUUCUUGGCCGUCUCAUGCUCUAUCAGUCCCAAUGACGGAACACAGCACCCGACUGGACCCGCAUGGCCAUAAGGGGUGCUGGAGUCAACCCGAUCCGACAGCCUAGCUCACCCCUCUGGUCUGAGGGUCAACGCUGGGGUCAUUCAGCACCUAGAGUCACCCUGGGUAAUGCUGGAUGCACUCAUGAUAUUAAGACUCCAUAGAUGUCCUUUCGAUUGGCAGUGCACACUAGGACAGGUUCAAUCAAAAGCUCCUAAAUGGUUUGCAGUGCAGGGAACGGGAGUCACUGUGCCCUCGGCUCCUGCUGAAGACAGCUAUCAGACACAACAGGGUGAUGCUGCCUUCAGUUGCCAUGGAAAUCCAAAACGACGGUGUGCCAAAAGCUGGCAUUCAUGGGAGGCGCUGCGCUCUGAGUUAUUUUGGUUGGCCAUUCACAUGUGAGAGGUGAGGCACGGAUCAAUCAUUAAAAAUCAUACUACGCCGUGUCUCUCUCUGUACCAUCACUCCUCUUUUCACGCUCCGGGUCUCCUCUUCAAAGGAUGAUUAGUGACAAUAAUAGUACGGGAUAUCGUGAGAUGCUGCCAGUGUAUCGUCUGUCAGAAAUGGCCAGGUCACAUAGUGGAUUGCAGUCAUGUCUGAGGGGUAAGUGUUAUCUUUAUUAGACUGUUGACCCUGUCAAUGUCAUACUUAUCCAAAAUGGCUUAUUUACACCAGGUUAUGAUUAUAAACUGUGAGUCAGAGUUAAAAGUAAAACUGACACCAAAUGGAAAACUGAAAAAUUAAAAUCAUAAAAGGUCGGUACUUAUAGUGAAAUAAACAUGAUCUGAAAUAAAAACUUUUCAACAUUUCUAAUUUUAAUUUAGUUUAAUAACUAAAAAAAUACUAACAAUACUAACAAAAAUACGCAAACAACAUUACUAACAUUUUAACUGAAAUAAAAAUAGAAAAAUAAAAAAUGUAAAAUGAUAAAAUUUAAAAAUAAAGUUUUAUAUAUAUGGACAUAAAAUAAAAUAAUAAAAAUGACAAAAAUACUAACAAAAUACUACAA